rnacentral:rRNA from 1 species
GAUGAACGCUGGCGGCGUGCCUAAUACAUGCAAGUCGAGCGAACGGACGAGAAGCUUGCUUCUCUGAUGUUAGCGGCGGACGGGCGAGUAACACGUGGAUAACCUACCUAUAUGACUGGGAUAACUUCGGGAAACCGGAGCUAAUACCGGAUGAUAUUAUGAACCGCAUGGUUCAAAAGUGAAAGACGGUCUUGCCGUCACUAAUAGCUGGAUCCGCGCUGCAUUAGCUAGUUGGUAAGGUAAUGGCUUACCAAGGCAACGAUGCAUAGCCGACCUGAGAGGAUGAUCGGCCACACUGGAACUGAGACACGGUCCAGACUCCUACGGGAGGCAGCAGUAGGGAAUCUUCCGCAAUGGGCGAAAGCCUGACGGAGCAACGCCGCGUGAGUGAUGAAGGUCUUCGGAUCGUAAAGCUCUGUUAUUAGGGAAGAACAUAUGUGUAAGUAACUGUGCACAUCUUGACGGUACCUAAUCAGAAAGCCACGGCUAACUACGUG